GAUUUUGCAUAGUUUUCCCAGUAUCAGGCAUCUCUAAAGCCUACCAGUUCCCCUAUCACUGCGAUCGCUGAGUCAGGUAAAUCCACUACAUGCCUUGUGUCUUCCUCAUCCAAAUGGGUUAUUGAUUCUGGUGCAACAGAUCACAUGACAGGAUCUUACGACGAAGCAGAUUAUUGGUAGAGGACGUGAGUCAGGUGGUCUCUACAUUCUGGAAAAUCAUGUACCGCGAUCGCUUGUUUGCUCCAGUACCUUAACACCUCUUGAAGCUCAUUGUAGAUUGGGUCAUCCUUCUUUGUCUACCAUGAAGAAGUUGUGUCCUCAGUUUCAGUCUUUAUCAGUACUAGAAUGUGAGUCGUGUCAGUUUGCAAAACAUCAUCGUUUGCCUUCUGUGUCUAGAGUCAAUAAACGGGCUUCAUCCCCUUUUGAGUUAGUUCAUUCUGAUGUUUGGGGUCCUUGUUCUGUUACUUCUAAAAUUGGAUUUCGUUAUUUUGUUACUUUUGUUGAUGAUUACUCUCGUGUUACCUAGUUAUAUUUAAUGAAGAAUCGUUCUGAGUUGUUUUCUA